UACGGGAGGCAGCAGUAGGGAAUAUUGCGCAAUGGGGGCAACCCUGACGCAGCAACGCCGCGUGAAGGACGAAGGUCUUCGGAUUGUAAACUUCUUUUGUCAGGGACGAAAUAUGACGGUACCUGACGAAUAAGCUCCGGCUAACUACGUGCCAGCAGCCGCGGUAAU
rnacentral:rRNA from 1 species